CCCUGGGGCUGAGCAAGGCCGUAGCCACAGUUCCACAGACCUGGGGGAGCACCCUGUUAGUGCCAAAUCCAGGCCUUGCCACCAUCCGGCCUCUCUUCUCCAAGGACUCAGAGCCGACGACACCGCCUGAGCCCAUCUUCAGGCCCCCUGCAGAUGGUGGGAAGGGGUCACUUUCUCUGGUAGGUCCAGGCGACAGGCUCCUACACAUACACCUUCACUCAGUCAACCGGAUUUACUGAGCACCUACUGUGUGCCAGACACUGUAGUGUAAGUAUAAUACGGAGCAAAAUGAAGUCCCCCACCCCUAUGGUGCCCACAGACCAGACCGGGGCUCGGCGGUCUUUGUCCGCAAAGGGCCAAAUAGUAAACAUUUUACGCUUUCAGGCUAUACAACCAUUCAACUCUGCUUUAUGACAGAAAGGAGCUCUUGACAGGACAAACAAAUGGGCAUGGCUGUGUUCUAAUAAAAUUUCCUGGACGCUGAAAUUUGAAUUUCAUAUAAUUUCCAUGUGUCACAAAAUAUUAUCCCUCUUUUGAUGAUCAACCAUUAAAAAACCUACAACCAUUCUUAGCUCCGGAAAUGGAAACAGGCAGUGGGCAGGACUCUCCGGGGCCGGAGGAGCUGCGGACCAGCCAGGCAAAGAAGAAAAUGCCACCCAGUGAGCGUCAGAGUGGGUCACUCAGCUGGGGAGGGGACAAGCCACGUUUUGCUUUUCUGUCCCUUACCUGAUGGAUGGUAGAUGUCAAGCUGUUCCCACUUGGGCUCCACUUCAAGGCUCUGGUGAGAGGCACAGCCAAGCCCUCUCUCCUGGGGUUUAGACUGGAGCAGCCACUGCUUACUGGACAAGAGGAUGAGGGCUACAGAGAAGAGUGGUCCCCAAGUCGGGCUGAUGGCAGAGUUGGCCCAGGCGGUGCAGGUGUGUGGUUAAAAACCACAAACUUCAUGGAAGGCUAUGUGCAAAUCCCUUCUCGCCACUGUCUCCUGGUCACCUUCUCCUCCCCGGAGGCAGCCACUAUUGUUAGGCCCGGCCAUGUCCUCCGGAGAUGGUCUAUGCAUUCAGAAGCAAAUCUCCUCAAGAAACAAAGCAAGCCAGAACCCCAUCCACACACUGCACGACUGGAGCCUCCGACAGAAUCUUCUGUCUGCAUUUUUCACUGACCAGCAUUUCUGGGAGAUAAUUAUAUAUCAGUAUGUAUAGUCCGCCCAUUCUUUUCAACAAUAGCAAACCGAUAAUAACAGCAGGACCUUGUACUUAACUAUGUGCGGGCUGCUGCUCUAAGCACUAUUUAUAUGAACUGAUCUACUCCCCAAACAGCUUGGAGACGGGCACUCCCUUAUCUCACUCCGCAGGCGAGGAGGCCGGGGGUUCCGCAUUUGUGUGACGAGGCCCUGUGGACUUCCACGGCCGCUCCUGAUGGACAUGCAGGAUGGCUCCGGGCGGUGAACACUCUUGUACUUUUGUCUCUGGGCACUUGUAUCUCAGAGGAUAAAUGCACUGAAGCGAAUGGCUGGGUUAAAGGGCAUGCGCAUUUUUAAUUUAAAUAGCUGUGGCCAAAUUGCCCUCUGAAGUGAUCCCAGCCGUUUACAUAGAGCUGCACCUGCCCCUCCCGCUCCCAGCGGCAGGACCAGCGCAGCCUUCAUCCGCCUUUUCUGUCUUGGCCAAUCUGAUAGAAGGAAAUGAUCUCUCCUCACGGUUUUCCCUUGCGCGGCUCUUACAAGAGAGGUCAAGCGUCUUUUCACACAGGACAGCACCAUCUGGCACAGUCAGAAUCCAGCAGGGCAAGGUCCAAGGAGGUCUGGGAGCCAGGAGGCCGUUGGGGGUGAGGGUGGAGGUGGACAUCUCUGAGCUGGCCCUUGGGGCGUGGGGCACCCAGGGAGGGCACCUUUGGCAGAGAGACGGGCCCGAGCAAGGGCUCAAGGGGCACCUGAUCAGUCCAGGCCCGAGGACGGCUCUCUUCUCAGCAGUGUCAGCCCUGCUCCCUGAGUCCUACUCCCCAGCCAGGAUGCUUCCUCUUCUCCCUCUCGCACCUUGAGAUAAACCUUGGUUCCUGGGGUCCCUGCCCCACAGGGGGCUCCUUCCAGGGUCCCCAGAGGGAGCCUUCCCCCCCCAUGCCUUUAGUGAGGUAGCUUCCCCUACCCCUCCCACCCAUCCCUGCCUCUAGCUGGGCGAGCGUACAUCCUCGUUAGCACGGUUCAGUGCCCAGCACUGGUAAUUGAUCUCCCUCCGGCCCAGUGUGGACAGCGGCUAAUGGGGAUGAAUGGUGCGGGAGGUGCCGCCAAGGGACUCUCACCCGGAGGCCCGCACAGGGGUGGAGAGGAGGGCAGGAGAUGGAGAUGCGUUGAGCAGGCCUGUGACUCAGAUGGGGAGCCUGCAGUCGCCUCUGCCCGCCCACCAAGGCCGCCAUCUGGCCCCCAACACCAGUGGGCAGAGGGGUGCUGGAAUUCAGCUGCCUGCUGGGGUAAGGGCAGGGGCCGGUCUAGGAGGCAGGACUGGAGUUCUGGGAUGGCAUCCCAGGAAGGCAUUGCGGCCCUACGGGAGGGGCAGGCAAUGCCCUCAAUCAGACGUGUGUCGGAGAGAGAGGGACAUUCCAAAGCAGGAGCAGGUAGUCACGGGCCGACCAGAAACAAGGACUCCGUUGCAUGAUCAAGUGACAAAUAUUUAUUAGCUGCUUACUGCGUGCCGGGCACUGGGUAAGCCGCAAGGUGACCUGAACAAUUAAGACCUUCUUCAUGGGUGCAGGGUGAUGGGGAGUAACUAGGAAAAUAAACACUGAAGUUGUUAACAGAUGGUAAGAGCUCAGAGGGCAAUAAACAGGGUUAUGUGUUAGGGUGACGGAAUGGAAGUGGCACUUUUGGAAGGAACCUGGGGAGGCCUCUCUGAGGAGGCAACAUGUGAGCUGAGACCUGAACAAUGAGAAGGAAAAGCAGUCCAGGCAAAGGGAACAGGCAGUGCAAAGGUCCUAAGGUGGGAAUGAACUUGGGGUGUUUGAGGAAUAAGAAGGGGCCAGUGUGGCACCCGGAUGGCUCAGAAGAGUGUGCAACUCUUGAUCUCAGGGUUGUGAGUUUGAGCCCCAUGUUGGGAGUAGAGAUUACACAAAAAAUGUUAAAAAAUAAAAUCUGAAAUAGAAGGAGAGGAGGGAGAAGGAGAAGGAGAAGAGGCCAGUGUGCUGGAGCAUGGCCCCUGAAGAGGAGAUGAGCUGAGAAAUUGAUGGCAAUAAAGCAAGGAAGGUCAUGGUCAAGGCCAGAAGCCCCAUUGCCAGGUCUGUGGGGUCAUGGUGGAUGGGACCCCUUUCCUGAGGUGGUGUUGGCCAUUCACGAGUCCUGCCUGGGUCACCUGGGCCAGAGGUCCCUGGGGAAGCCAGGCUUGUGAAGACUCUUGCCACUCCCUGGUCACUGUGUCUGCAGACUUCAGGGGGACAAGGGGGACUCCCAGAGGUGUCUGGGCCAAACUCAGUCUGAUUUAGAGGACACACAGACACCUUCUUGGCCAUUCGGGAGAAGGUGUCCAG